UUUCGGUCUUUUUGUUUGUUUGUUUGUUUGCUUAUAAAUUGUUUACAAUCCAAUUUAAUCUUCUGCCUUGUGUUAGUUUCUUAAUCCAGUGCAAGUUUAUUUAGACAAUAAUUUCAAACUUUAGUGGCAAAAAAUUAGUUCAGAUGCACAGCAAUUCAUAAUUUUAUGAUGUUACAAAGGAAUGUGAAAAAGGAAAUGCAUUUCUCAAAUGUUUUUCUUAUCAUCGCAAUAAAUCGGAAAUGGAUUUCCUCUUGAAACAGCAGAGGCCAACAGCUCUCUAUCAAUCCUUUGGCCUUUCAAUCGCCUGGUCCUGUUUUUUUCGGACAUCACACCAAAAGUAUCCCACUGAGAAGGCUCUUGUGUUUAAGGUGCAGACUUUCAUAAUAGUCUUGAUGUUUGUUGGGUCAACUUUUUGUUUAAGGCAACCCUUCGUUAAGUUGGUCGUUGGUGGCAAACAGGCAAUAAUGAGGACAAAGUCUAUUUUACCAUUCAACAUGACCAGAUUUACCUUAUCAUAAUCACCUAGACAUAUAGCGUAACUAGAAUUGGCAGGAUUUAAUUACCAAGCACCUUAAUUGUUGAGUUGACUCAAUCCGGUUCCAAGAAAUCAAGUCAAUCUCAUUUACGGAGUUCAGAAAAGCAAUAUUUGGAAGCAAAUUUAAAGAGGAAAAGAGCUAAAAAAGGUUUGAUGACCUUCAAAUCGAAAAGAACUUUCAUUUUAUCAUAAAAAUAUUAUGGUUAAAUUGAAGAGAAAUAACUUUGGAUUGUUACCUUUUCACUCUUCCCUCUACUUAUCUAAUUUAAUGGCCGCGAUAGUCCUGUUCAUGUAUGUGUAUGUACACAAAAAUAUAUGUGUGUUGGGUAAAAAAAGGUUGAUGUUAACUAAAAAGUUCACAGUUAUAACCAAUGGAAUUUUAAAAGUUUAACUUUAGAUGUGUUAUUACUAUUACCAUUAUUGUUGUUAUUAUCAUCAUUAUUAUUACUAUUAUGAUUAUUAUUACAGGCAACAACUCUUGAGUUGACGGUUCAAGCAUCAAUAUCAAUAUAAAAACAAAAAACACUAAAACAAGAUUUAUUUUGGUCUCUGCCCUUUUUGCUUUGGUCUUUUUUUCUCUAAUCUUGCUAAGAAGUACAAUAAUGAUCAUCACCAAUUGCAAUCACCAUCGCCAUCAUGAGCACCAUUCCAAGGACUAAUGUGGCUACCAAUUAUCUUCUCAAUGAUGCUCAUGGUGAUCCUGUUGUUAAUACAAAUGAGAUGAACCUUGAUUGGUUUGAGGAGCGAGAAAAAAGCUGAUGAUGAUAAUGAUGAUGAUGGCUAAUAGGAUGGGAAUUACAAGAGCAGUUAUUGAACAAAAUAGCUUCUGAUGGAUUAUUUUACUCUUUUUUUUCUGCCAACUCUAUUCUUUAAUGAUGAUGGUCCUGUUUAAUUGUGAUUAGGCGUUUUUUACUCUCCAUAUUCAAGUAUCUCAAGGCUCACCAUUGCUGUUCAUUUAUUCACAGAUCAGAUGGAUUAGAAUUGAUAAAAUUUUUCCAGUUUAUUAAUUUUUACCCAUUCAAUUCACUAAUUAAUGAACAAGGCAACAUUUAAACACGCAGUUAUUCAAUCAGAAAGACCAGAAGUUAUCACAUUGUCAAUGGAAUCCAAAGGAUGCCAACAAACAGCAGGAAAUUGAUGAUUUAAUGGAUCAUAAUUUGAACAUUUUUUACUCCAUUAUUGGACUGUUAUUAUCAACCAAUUGUUAUAACUGCUAAUGCUAAUUAAUGUUGAACCUUUUUCAGCUCAUUUCCGGACAAUCAAAUGUCUUUAAUUUCCAUCAUCUCUAAGGAUUAAAACCAAAUCUAAUAAGAUUUCAUGGUUAAUUCAGGGAAACCUGAAAUAGAGCAAUUUGCUGUGCAAUUACAAUCUUUAAUUUUCAUCUUUACAUCCACAUCAAUUUGGAAGGAAAAAAACAAAAUCAUGCAAAAACAAGUUAAAGUCAAUGGAUGAUGUUGUUUGUUACUGCUGAUGAAAAUGAUGAUGAUGAUAAUAUUAAUAAUAAUAAUGAAGCUGCUGUUUUGAUGGUUAGUUAUUUUGGGGUUGAUUGUUGAUAAGAAUCAGGACAAAAUCAUGAGUAUCUUCGGUAGUUACCAAGUUGGAACAUUAAAACGCAUUGCAAUUGAUCUUGAUGCUCAUUAUUUUUUUUCCCUAUCAUCUUGAUGAUCAUCUUCAUCACCAUAAACCAUCAUCAAUUGAGUCUAUCAUCCAAGCAAGCUGUUAUACAGUUAAAUUGUUAACAAGAGAGAGAUGGAUCAAGAGAGAAACGAUUAUAAUGAUGAUAGAAAUGAGAACAUUUUAUCGUGAAAAUGUGAUGAAAGAAGGCUUUCUCUUCUCGUUGAAUAUAUAUUUAUAUAAUAUCAGCUUCUGAUAAUUGACAGACUAUCUGAUGCUGUCAUGAUGAAGAGUUGAAGAGUUGAAGGCAAAAAAACUGAAUUAUUUUUUCUCUAUCAUGAAAAAUAUCGCCUCGCUUGCUUGAAAUGAAUAUAUGUUUUGCUGGAUAGAUAUUUUUUAAUUUUUUUCAUUAUAACCAUGAAUAUGAAACUAAUGUUGUUAACAUAUUAAGUUAUGAAUAUUCUAAUAGUUUCAGUCUCUGACCAGAUUAUUAUAAUAUUAUAUUGUAUUGCCUAAAGAAUCAAGCAGCUAUUAUUUUCGUUGGGAAAUAUUUAUAUGUUAACAACCUUGUCAAAUUUUAUUGUUGCUUUCUUGGUGUUUUUUUUAUUCUGACUUUCAGGUUUUACAUAUUAGAUUAUUUCCUUUUUUCAUACCUUAUUAACAUGAUAAUUUAAACCUUUACCCUAAUUUGAUUGAGCUUGCAAAAUUAACCUUAACCAAAAUGAUAACCUCCUCCAGUAUCUUAUUCAGACACUUUUUCCUCUGCCUUUUCAUUUUGUUGUUGUUUUUUUUCCUUGUUGACUUCAAUUCCAAUGAAAAUGACAUUAUGAUGAUAGAAAUGAUUCUGAUUAUUAUAAUUAUGAUGGGAAGAUGAUUUUGAAAGGUCUUGUCUUAGGAAAGGUAUGGAAAGAAAAAACGUGAGACCAAUUCUCAACAAUUAAGCUUAAUCAAAGGUUGGAUUAAGCUUUGUUCAUUCCUCUUUCAGUCUCGGUGUGUGACAAAACAUUAACCCAACCGGUAACCACAAUUAUGUAAAUCCAUUGCCAACAAAAUAUUUAUGCAUUCAUCAUAUCUAUGACUAAGGAUGACGGAUGAGGGAUCAUCGUGUUAGCCAGGUAGGAAGAGAAAUAGCAAAAAAAUAUAUCGUCAUCAUCAUUAAGAAUAAAAAUGAAGCCCUGAAUGAUCCAUAAGAAGAAGGGAAAAAAAUGUUGACAGUUGAAUCAAGUGAGGAGAAACAGGUAAUGUUAAAUAGAUGAUUUAAAGAUGAGUGUGAUGAUGACGAUAAUGAAAAGAUCACAUGAGGCAGGAUAAAUAAGCAAAAGGUAAAUGUGGAUGACGAUGAGACGAAGAUGAUGGUGAUGAUGAUGAAAGUAAUGCAAAAAAAGACGAAGAGGAAGCUUUGAAAUGUGGUUGUGACCCUUGAAUGUAGAAGACCAAAGAGAAAGUCCUGUCUAAAAUUUCCCAUGUUAUUGUCUUACCCUUAGGCACUGUUUACCUACAAAAUGACUGUUGACUCAAGGUAAGCUUGUACAUGUAUGACAAUAAUGUUGCCAGUGGAAAAGCAAAAGAGAGCGAAAAUAAAUAAAAUAAAGUAUUAUGAUAAAAAUGCGAAAAUAAAGUAACAAAUAAAAAAUAAUCAAGAAAUGUCAAUCUAAGACGAAAGAUAGCGUUAGGAUCAAGGCUUAUUGAUAUGCUUAUGCAGAGAGCAAAAGAAGUAAACAGAAAGCUUGUUCUUGAUCUUGUGUCUUUUUUACCUUCCACCUUCCACCUUUGUCCCUUAUUAUUUGGACAGGACAAAUAUUACUUUAAUUACCAGUCUCUUUAACUGUUGCUCCCAAUGGUAACAAGGUGAACAGUGUCUCCUUUCUCCUCUCUUUCUCCUCUUUCUUUCCCCUUUUUUCACUCUAUUGUCUCCUCAAAACAAAUCAGGACAAUAAUGAGGAUCAAGGUAGGUUGGCAAAAAAGCAUCACCAACUUUUUUUUCUGGCCAAUUCUGUUCUGAACUUUACCUGAUUUUGCUUUGUUCUCUGCCUUUCUUGUGUCCCAAGAGUCCAUUUCGCUAUACAUAUUAGCAGAUAUAAUUUUCAAUGGUCAUUUUCACGUUAACCCAAGAAUCAACAAAGGCAAUAAUAACAAUAACAACAAUAAACAAACGGUGGAUCUAAUGAUGAUGAAAGGUCUUGGAGACUCCAAUCAAUUUUGAUUAUUUGCUUGUUGGCUAAAGCAAGGCUUGUAAAGAUCUUCACCUUUCAAGAUGUAAGGUCCGGACAACAAGGAGACAAACAAAGGAGACGAAAGGAAACAAAUUUUUUUCUAUCAAUUUUAUAAUCAUCUAAUUGCACUUCUGAAAAUCAAACACAAAUGGUGAUGCUGGCGGUGAUGUUUAUGACAAUGAUUAUAUUAGUGAUGAUAGUUUGCUUUGUCGAUCCUUUGUCAAUUUCAAACGACAAUCAACAAUCCACUUUCAUCACAAUCAUCAUCAGCAUCACACACUCAACACAAAUAAGGUUUGAUAUUAUUCAAUCAAUAAAAAGACCAAUGACAAUUGAUAAAAAUUGUCCACAAAACAAAAUGAGUUCAUAGUAGGGUGCUUACCACAGCGAGUUAACCUUGGGUGGCAGGUAAAAAGCCAGAUGAUCCAAAAGGAAAAGGCAAGGCAAGCAGAUGAAAGAGAAUGUUGAAGAUGAAGACAAAGAAGCUAUACAUCUUUAAGAUCUUUACUGAUAUUGGGUUGCAGGACCAGUAAGGGACUACCGAUCAAACCUAGUUGUCUAUCAUAAAGAUUAUUGAAGCAGAAGAAAGAAAGCAUAACCUGCAGGGGUUUAUAAAUUUCAAUAUCAUGUUGAGUCUGUAUGCUACGUAUUUGCUUCAAGAUGAUUUUGUUUAAAUGAUGAAGGUAUGAAGAGGGGAAAUAGAGAGAGAAAAAGAAAG